CAAUAGCGUAUAUUUAAGUUGCUGCAGUUAAAAAGCUCGUAGUUGGAUUUCGGGUGGGAAUGGCCGGUCCGCCGUUUCGGUGUGCACUUGCUACGCCCACCUUGCUGCCGGGGACGUGCUCUUGAGUUUCGGCUCGGGACACGGAGUCGGCGAGGUUACUUUGAGUAAAUUAGAGUGUUCAAAGCGGGCUUACGCUUGAAUAUAUUAGCAUGGAAUAACACCAUAGGACUCCUGUCCUAUUUCGUUGGUCUCGGGACGGGAGUAAUGAUUAAGAGGAACAGUUGGGGGCAUUCGUAUUUCAUUGUCAGAGGUGAAAUUCUUGGAUUUAUGAAAGACGAACUUCUGCGAAAGCAUUUGCCAAGGAUGUUUUCAUUGA
rnacentral:rRNA from 1 species